GACGAACGCUGGCGGCGUGCUUAACACAUGCAAGUCGAACGAAGUGGCGAACGGGUGAGUAACGCGUAAUCAACCUGCCCUUCAGAGGGGGACAACAGUUGGAACCGACUGCUAAUACCGCAUACUGAAGUAGGGGAUUGCGUCUGGUUAGCUAGGUGGAGGGGUAACGGCCCACCAGGGCGAUGAUCAGUAGCCGGUCUGAGAGGAUGAACGGCCACAUUGGGACUGAGACACGGCCCAGACUCCUACGGGAGGCAGCAGGUGGGAAUCUUCCGAAAUGGACGAAAGUCUGACGGAGCAACGCCGCGUGAGUGAUGACGGCCUUCGGGUUGUAAAGCUCUGUUAAUCGGGACGAGGUACCGGAAUAGAAAGCAACGGCUAACUACGUGCCAGCAGCCGCGGUAAUAC
rnacentral:rRNA from 1 species